rnacentral:rRNA from 1 species
UACGUAGGGGGCAAGCGUUGUCCGGAAUCAUUGGGCGUAAAGCGCGUGUAGGCGGUCCGGUAAGUCCGCUGUGAAAGUCCAGGGCUCAACCCUGGGAUGCCGGUGGAUACUGUCGGGCUAGAGUACGGAAGAGGCGAGUGGAAUUCCCGGUGUAGCGGUGAAAUGCGCAGAUAUCAAGAGGAACACCUGAGGCGAAGGCGGGUUGCUAGGCUGACACUGACGCUGAUGCGCGAAAGCCAGGGGAGCAAACGGG